UUUGGUUCUUCUUCACGACUUUAGAACAUGUCGAUUGUGUUCAGCGUCAACGGGAAGAGACAUGAGUUGAGCGAAAAGGAAGUUGAUCCUCGCAAAACUUUGGCUGAGUUUCU
rnacentral:ribozyme from 1 species